AUACGGAGGGUGCAAGCGUUAUCCGGAUUUAUUGGGUUUAAAGGGUGCGUAGGCGGUUUGAUAAGUCAGCGGUGAAAUAUUUCAGCUUAACUGGAAGGGUGCCGUUGAUACUGUCGAGCUUGAAUUUAGUUGCUGUGGGUGGAAUGUGUGGUGUAGCGGUGAAAUGCAUAGAUAUCACACAGAAUAUCGAUUGCGAAGGCAGCUCACAAAGCUAAUAUUGACGCUGAUGCACGAAAGUGUGGGGAUCAAACAGGAUUAGAUACCCUGGUAGUCCACACUGUAAACGAUGAUAACUCGCUGUCGGCGAUACAUAGUCGGUGGCCAAGCGAAAGCGAUAAGUUAUCCACCUGGGGAGUACGACCGCAAGGUUGAAACUCAAAUGAAUUGGCGGGG
rnacentral:rRNA from 1 species